UUCUUCUUCCUCCGGCCAGGUAGAACCCUGAGUAUAGAACAAGCAAACAGAUCAACAAACGAGCUUCAUUUCCUCUUCAAACUCUCAAGUACGGACUCUUCUUCCCAAAAAAAAGAAUUGGCACAUUUUUAACGGAUUAAUUAGAUAUAAGUUUCCACUAUGUCAUUCUAUUUCAGCUUGCUGACCAACAACUGCAAUCCGAGAGCGAACAGAAAAAUUCCCCAAUACAAGCAGAGAAAAUUCCACGCAUCAUUUGGUUCAUCCAUCCAAUGAAAACAGGUGAAUGUUGCGGUGUUGUAUGCUCGCAUGAUUAAUCAGCAAAUCACACACAAAACCACAAAACUUGAUCAGCAACUCACCAUUUCCCCAAACAAAAACCAUUUUCUGCUUCAAGACACUUCUCAGCUCCCAGCAGAAAAAAUUCUCCCCAGAAAAAAAAAGUUCUUCUUAGCUAAUCAAUCGAGUAAUCUGUUUUGAGCAAACCCAUCGAAUCCACCAACAGAACUAAUCACAAACAAAAUUGCAAAUGUUUACCGACGAUUCCACCCA
rnacentral:lncRNA from 1 species